CUCUCUUUUUCUGUUUCUUUGUUCCUCUAUUGAGAUAUAGAUUAUCUCUUUUUUGCCGUUUCUUUGCAUCAUUUUGUUAUUAAUGGUGAUAUUACUUGCUCCUCAGAUACUUAGAUUUUUCAAUUUGAUGAAAUCUUGCUUAACAGCGAAGUCAAUUGAUGGAACCCAUAAUCAGAUUCAAUCUGGACAUGGGAAAUGUGGGACCUAGCAACACUGAAGCAAAUGUCUCAGAAUUGGAAGGUUUUAGCCGUUGCAUUGAUGAAUUGUUCUCAAAAGUUAAUGAGCUUGAGCAAGGGGUAAAUGUAGUUGAACAAUUCUCCAUGACUGCAGAUAACAAACAACACAACACUGAUAAAUGUAGCUCAAUUAUGAACGAUAAAAUCAGGGAAAAAUAUUUAGCCAACAUUGAGGAGCAAGAGCAACAUGUACCUCAGAGGGAAGUUGCUGGUGGAAAGAGAACGCAACUUAUGCAUCAGUUUGCAGGAAUAUUUCAUCAGAUCACGCAGCAUAAGUGGGCAUGGCCUUUCAUGCAGCCAGUAGAUGUUGUGGGUCUUGGUUUGCACGACUAUUAUGAGGUUAUUGAAAAGCCAAUGGACUUCGGUACAAUAAAAAAUAAGAUGGAGGCUAAGGAUGGCACUGGGUACAAGAAUGUCCGGGAAAUAUAUGCUGAUGUUAGGCUGGUUUUUAAGAAUGCAAUGAAAUACAAUGAUAAAAGAGAUGAUGUUCAUGUAAUGGCCAGAACUUUGUUGGAGAAGUUUGAAGAAAAAUGGCUGCAACUUUUGCCUAAAGUUGUUGAGGAGGAAAGAAGACAAGAAAAGGACAAAGUAGUGGUGGAGGCCGGCACUAAACUAGCUCAGGAGGUUUUACAUGCUAACAUGGCUAGGGAUUUAAGCAACGAGCUUUGUGAAGUUGAUACACAACUGGACAAACUCAGAAAAAUGGUAGUUCAGAAUUGCAGAAAAAUGUCUGUUGAAGAGAAAAAGAAAUUGGUGACAGCUCUCAAUCAAUUAUCUCCUGAAGAUCUGACUAGGGCACUGGAUAUAGUUGCUGCUGAUAAUCCAAGCUUCCAAGCAACAGCUGAAGAGGUGGAACUUGACAUGGAUGCUCAGAGUGAAUUGACACUUUGGAGGCUCAGGGUUUUCGUUAAAGAUGCUUUAAAAGUUAUGGGAAGUAAGUCCCUGGGCAUGAAUGGGAACAAUAACAAUGGUGAUGAAAACAAGGAUAUCAACAUCAAUAACAAGAAGAGCAAGAACGCCGUCACCACUGCCACCACGUACACCAACAACAAACGAAGAAGAGAGAUUUGUGAUGUUAUUACCAGAACAUCUACUAAGAAGACUAGGAGGAUCUCCCUCAUUUUAUGACCUACAAUUUCUGGAAGUUCUGCUUUUUCUUUUGUCAUUAUGUGAAGUUGUCUUAGAGUUGGGUAUGUUUUGGUAGCAACUAUAUACUUGAUAAUUGAUAUUGCUGUUUGAUAAGCUUUUGGUGGCAUGGGAAAAAUUUCCGAAGAUCCAAAAAUAUUAACUGAAAGCUUUUCUAAUGGAAAUUCUGAUACAGGUCAGAUGGAGAAGACGGACAAGUUCCGAUGCUUACUGGUGAGGCAUGAAAUAUGGACAAUUAGGGCUACUGGCGUAAAUGAGCUAAGUAGAAUAGCUCAAACUUGAUUCGAUUCUAAAAUUCGAAGUUUGAAAUUGGACU
rnacentral:misc_RNA from 1 species